rnacentral:rRNA from 1 species
GAGGAAUAUUGGACAAUGGAUGGAAAUCUGAUCCAGCCAUGCCGCGUGCAGGAAGACGGCCCUAUGGGUUGUAAACUGCUUUUGUAUGGGAGCAAUAAGGACUACGUGUAGUUUGAUGAGAGUACCAUACGAAUAAGCAUCGGCUAACUCCGUGCCAGCAGCCGCGGUAAUACGGAGGAUGCGAGCGUUAUCCGGAUUUAUUGGGUUUAAAGGGUGCGUAGGCGGCGAUAUAAGUGAGUGGUGAAAUAUUUCGGCUUAACCGAGAGACUGCCAUUGAUACUGUGUUGCUAGAAUAUGGUUGCUGUGAGUGGAAUGUGUGGUGUAGCGGUGAAAUGCUUAGAUAUCACACAGAAUAUCGAUUGCGAAGGCAGCUCACAAAGCCAUUAUUGACGCUGAGGCACGAAAGUGUGGGGAUCAAACA